AAUUCAUGGCUCGAGCCCUCUCCCAGACCGUAAUUAGAGUUUCCUCCACUCGUUCUUUUAUCUCGAUUAGAACCCAACCAUUCGCACCGUCAUCUCGACUUCUAAACCAUAGGAACAGAUCGAAUCGAUCAGAGAAAGCGCAGCUAAUCGGGGUGGAUCUCGAUUCCGACAAUGAAGUCGAGGUUCUGGGGAUGCGGAGACUCGAAGAUGCCAUCCAUGGAAUCAUUGUGAGAAGAUCUGCGCCAGAUUGGCUUCCAUUUCUUCCUGGAUCGUCCUAGUGGGUUCCGCCUCGUAGACGACCUUUUGGUCUCGUUGAGUUGGUCGGGAAGUUGGCGAAUCCUUUGACGGAGGAGGAAUCGCUCUCUCUUACGACCGUUCGUGGAUGGCCUUCGUCAACAUAUUUUGUUGAAGGUACAUCUCCAUACCAGGUGGAUGGUGAUACAAAUA